UGGGGAAUAUUGCACAAUGGAGGGAACUCUGAUGCAGCGACGCCGCGUGAACGAAGAAGGCUUUCGAGUCGUAAAGUUCUUUUAUAUGGGAAGAUAAUGACGGUACCAUAAGAAAAAGCCCCGGCUAACUACGUGCCAGCAGCCGCGGUAAUACGUAGGGGGCUAGCGUUGUCCGGAAUCACUGGGCGUAAAGGGUUCGCAGGCGGAAAUGCAAGUCAGGUGUAAAAGGCAGUAGCUUAACUACUGUAAGCGUUUGAAACUGCAUAUCUUGAGAAGAGUAGAGGUAAGUGGAAUUUUUAGUGUAGCGGUGAAAUGCGUAGAUAUUAAAAAGAAUACCGGUGGCGAAGGCGACUUACUGGGCUCAUUCUGACGCUGAGGAACGAAAGCGUGGGUAGCAAACAGG
rnacentral:rRNA from 1 species